rnacentral:rRNA from 1 species
UUGGAGGGCAAGUCUGGUGCCAGCAGCCGCGGUAAUUCCAGCUCCAAUAGCGUAUAUUAAAGUUGUUGUGGUUAAAAAGCUCGUAGUUGAACCUUGGGCCUGGCUGGCCGGUCCGCCUCACCGCGUGUACUGGUCCGGCCGGGCCUUUCCCUCUGUGGAACCCCAUGCCCUUCACUGGGCGUGGCGGGGAAACAGGACUUUUACUGUGAAAAAAUUGAGUGCUCCAGGCAGGCCUAUGCUCGAAUACAUUAGCAUGGAAUAAUAGAAUAGGA